GGUAUAGUGCAGUGGUAGAGCACCUGCCUAGUACACAUGAAACCCUGGGCUCAAUUCCCAGCACCA
rnacentral:tRNA from 1 species